CACGUAGUUAGCCGGGGCUUCUUAAUCAGGUACCGUCUGGCGACCCAAAGGUCGCUAUUUCUUCCCUGCUGAUAGAGCUUUACAUACCGAAAUACUUCUUCACUCACGCGGCGUCGCUGCAUCAGGGUUUCCCCCAUUGUGCAAUAUUCCCCACUGCUGCCUCCCGUAGGAGUUUGGGCCGUGUCUCAGUCCCAAUGUGUCCGUUCACCCUCUCAGGCCGGCUACUGAUCGUCGCCUUGGUGAGCCAUUACCCCACCAACAAGCUAAUCAGACGCGGAACCAUCGUAUACCACCAGAGUUUUUCACACCACUUCAUGCGAAGCUGUGCGCUUAUGCGGUAUUAGCACCUAUUUCUAAGUGUUAUCCCCCAGUAUACGGCAGGUUUUCCACGCGUUACUCACCCGUCCGCCACUAACUCAUAAAUCACUAGGUUUCAAUAUGAGCCCGUUCGACUUGCAUGUGUUAAGCACGCCGCCAGCGUUCAUCCUGAGCCAGGAUCAAA
rnacentral:rRNA from 1 species